rnacentral:rRNA from 1 species
UUGACCUCGGAUCAGGUAGGGAUACCCGCUGAACUUAAGCAUAUCAAUAAGCGGAGGAAAAGAAACCAACAGGGAUUGCCUCAGUAACGGCGAGUGAAGCGGCAACAGCUCAAAUUUGAAAUCUGGCUCCUUCGGGGUCCGAAUUGUAAUUUGUAGAGAGUGCUUCGGGCGAGACCUCGGUCUAAGUCCAUUGGAACAUGGUGUCAUAGAGGGUGAGAAUCCCGUAUGCGACCGUGGCUCGAGCCCAUGUGAAGCCUCUUCGACGAGUCGAGUUGUUUGGGAAUGCAGCUCAAAAUGGGUGGUAAAUUUCAUCUAAAGCUAAAUACUGGCUGGAGACCGAUAGCGCACAAGUAGAGUGAUCGAAAGAUGAAAAGCACUUUGGAAAGAGAGUCAAACAGUACGUGAAAUUGUUGAAAGGGAAGCGCUUGCAACCAGACCUGCCCGUAGGCGAUCCGCCGCUGUUCUCAGCGGUGUACUCGCUCUGCGAUCAGGCCAGCAUCGGUUUCGGCGGUCGGAUAAAGGCCUUGGGAAUGUAGCUUCCCCUCGGGGGAGUCUUAUAGCCCUCGGUGUAAUGCGGCCAGCUGGGACCGAGGACCGCGCUUCGGCUAGGAUGCUGGCGUAAUGGUUGUAAGCGACCCGUCUUGAAACACGGACCAAGGAGUCUAACAUCUAUGCGAGUGUUUGGGUGUCAAACCCAUACGCGAAAUGAAAGUGAACGGAGGUGAGAACCCUUAAGGGCGCAUCAUCGACCGAUCCAGAUGUCUUCGGAUGGAUUUGAGUAUGAGCAUAGCUGUUGGGACCCGAAAGAUGGUGAACUAUGCCUGAAUAGGGUGAAGCCAGAGGAAACUCUGGUGGAGGCUCGCAGCGGUUCUGACGUGCA